rnacentral:lncRNA from 1 species
AGGCUGAGGUCCAGACCAGCCCAGAGGCCUCAGAAUGUCCAAGGAAGAAGCAAGUAAAGUUACCAAUUGAGGAGAACUUGGAGCCAGGCAGAGCAAGUGCUCCCAACUUCCCAGUGAAUAUUUAGGGUGAGCCGUCCCACCCUGGGCUCUGCAGUUCCUUAUAGAGAAAACAUCUUCAGAAGUGGGGGAUGGGCUCACAGAUGUCCCCACACCCAGUGGAGUCACAGCAAGAUAAAGAGAUGGGUAUGGUCAUGUAAAAGCAGAUGGCCAGGGAUGCUGUCCCCACCCUUGGUUCUCUCCCUGUGCCAAGAAGGAAUGGUUUUGCUCCAUAAGAGGGUGAGGAGGAAUGAAGGACCAUGUUCUGCAGUGGUCUCCUGACAUGGACAUGCUCACAGAUUGGAGCAUGAGAGGUCCAUCUACAUUGAAUGUUGGUGCAGUCAGAGCCCUGGAGUGACAGCUGAAGAGUCCUUGGCUUCUCGGUGUCUCCUGUGCACCUCCUCCCCACACUGCAGAGGAGGUCACAGUGCCCGAGUUGGGGAGAGCAUCCUGAUGCUCAGGAUGAAGAGUGGAGCCUAUGCUCCUGACCUACACCCAAGAGGCUGUCUCAAGGAAGGAGACAUGGCAGGAUCUCAUGCUCUGCAGUCCUCCCAUGCAGCUGCUCAUCCUCCUGGUGCUACUGGAGCUGAGCCUGGCAGGCUCCCUCACACCUAAAUCUCCCCUCUGGACCAUGCCUGAGAACCACAUUGACCCCUGGGACCCUGCACUGUGGCCACCCCAGGCCAGGCACCACCACCAGUAGGGCCUAGGGAAGAAGGAACAGGGCACCUGCUUGCCUGGGACUGUGGCCACUGCCUCCAGCCUGCCAGGGCAGAGCACUACAGGCCUGCAGGACAAGGACCUGCUCCUGGGGCUGGGACUGCCCUACCCUGAGAAGGAACACUGGUUUCCAGGGUGGGAGAGGGCAAGGAGCCUUGGCCAUGAGCACAAGAGGCUCAGGGACAGAUGGAAACUGCACAGAGGUAGCUGGAGGUUGGGG